rnacentral:tRNA from 1 species
ACACGCGGUACGCUAACUGACGAAGCGACGAAGCUCAAACCUUCGUGACCCUCUGCUGGUUCGACUCCUGCAGGUGCU